UGUAAUCUGGUUCCCUCUGGAUUUC
rnacentral:piRNA from 1 species